rnacentral:rRNA from 1 species
CAGGCAAAUCCGGAAAGUUAAGGCUGAGGCGUGAUGACGAGGCACCACGGUGCUGAAGUGACAAAUGCCCUGCUUCCAGGAAAAGCCUCUAAGCAUCAGGUAACAUCAAAUCGUACCCCAAACCGACACAGGUGGUCAGGUAGAGAAUACCAAGGCGCUUGAGAGAACUCGGGUGAAGGAACUAGGCAAAAUGGUGCCGUAACUUCGGGAGAAGGCACGCUGACAUGUAGGUGAAGCCCCUGCGGGUGGAGCUGAAGUCAGUCGAAGAUACCAGCUGGCUGCAACUGUUUAUUAAAAACACAGCACUGUGCAAACACGAAAGUGGACGUAUACGGUGUGACGCCUGCCCGGUGCCGGAAGGUUAAUUGAUGGGGUUAUCGCAAGAGAAGCUCCUGAUCGAAGCCCCGGUAAACGGCGGCCGUAACUAUAACGGUCCUAAGGUAGCGAAAUUCCUUGUCGGGUAAGUUCCGACCUGCACGAAUGGCGUAAUGAUGGCCAGGCUGUCUCCACCCGAGACUCAGUGAAAUUGAACUCGCUGUGAAGAUGCAGUGUACCCGCGGCAAGACGGAAAGACCCCGUGAACCUUUACUACAGCUUGACACUGAACAUUGAGCCUUGAUGUGUAGGAUAGGUGGGAGGCUUUGAAGCGUGGACGCCAGUCUGCGUGGAGCCGACCUUGAAAUACCACCCUUUAAUGUUUGAUGUUCUAACCUGGCGCCCUGAUCGGGCGUGGGGACAGUGUCUGGUGGGUAGUUUGACUGGGGCGGUCUCCUCCCAAAGUGUAACGGAGGAGCACGAAGGUCAGCUAAUCCUGGUCGGACAUCAGGAGGUUAGUGCAAUGGCAUAAGCUGGCUUGACUGCGAGAGUGACGGCUCGAGCAGGUGCGAAAGCAGGUCAUAGUGAUCCGGUGGUUCUGUAUGGAAGGGCCAUCGCUCAACGGAUAAAAGGUACUCCGGGGAUAACAGGCUGAUACCGCCCAAGAGUUCAUAUCGACGGCGGUGUUUGGCACCUCGAUGUCGGCUCAUCACAUCCUGGGGCUGAAGUAGGUCCCAAGGGUAUGGCUGUUCGCCAUUUAAAGUGGUACGCGAGCUGGGUUUAGAACGUCGUGAGACAGUUCGGUCCCUAUCUGCCGUGGGCGCUGGAGAAUUGAGGGGGGCUGCUCCCAGUACGAGAGGACCGGAGUGGACGCAUCACUGGUGUUCGGGUUGUCAUGCCAAUGGCACUGCCCGGUAGCUAAAUGCGGAAGAGAUAAGUGCUGAAAGCAUCUAAGCACGAAACUUGCCCCGAGAUGAGUUCUCCCUGAGACUGUAAGUCUCCUGAAGGAACGUUGAAGACGACGACGUUGAUAGGCCGGGUGUGUAAGCGCAGCGAUGCGUUGAGCUAACCGGUACUAAUGAACCGUGAGGCUUAACCUU